rfam:Myotis davidii contig131853, whole genome shotgun sequence.
GGCAGUUCCCCGGUGACGCACCCCAGAAUCGGGCUCCCUCCUUUGUUUCCGGGUGCGUCACCUGAGAUCCACA